CUGACUUGAAGGAAGGACCCGUCAAGACGAGUCUACUUUUCUGCAGCUGAGACAGACUGUUCUCUGUAAACCCUGCAGAUGAUUGUGUGGGAAAAUCCCCGCAGAUCAGCAGUUUUGAAAAUACUCAGACCAGCCCGUCUGGCACCACCAAAAACCACGCCACGUUCAAAGUCACUGAAAUCACCUUUCUUCCCCGCUGCGUUGCUCGGUCUGAAAGCCAGCAGACACGAACGUGGACACAAGUUCUUUCGUCUUGUCUGCAUAACAUUCAGUAUCUAAGGGCUUUAUAUCACGCCAGAUGAGCCAUCAAUCGAUAGCAAACUCUCCACCCACCAUAGAGAAAAGCAGCCAACACAGAGCCCCACAUAUGGAUACCCAUCAUACUCCAAAGAGACAGGAGACAUGGAACAAAGUGAAGUCUGUGGCGCUGUGGGGGCUCAGUAGAGCAGAGUAGAAUGAACUUACAGAGGUACGGAGGGACUUUGUGCCGACAUUUCUCCUUUAAUAAAGAGCACGUACUCCCACCUCUCACUGCAAACUUAGAGAAGCUUUAUUGGUUCACAUCUGACUGACUGCUGUAGCCACAGGGGGUGGGUGUGCAUG